rnacentral:piRNA from 1 species
UAGGAAGUAUCCUUGAGCCAGGCUGGCCCA